rnacentral:misc_RNA from 1 species
GAUGAAGAACGUAGCGAAAUGCGAUAAGUAAUGUGAUUUGCAGAAUUCAGUGAAUCAUCGAAUCUUUGAACGCACAUUGCGCCCGCCAGCACUCUGGCGGGCAUGCCUGUUCGAGCGUCAUUUCAACCAUCAAGCCCCCAGGGGCUUGUGCUGGGGCCCUGCGGCUGCCCGCAGGCCCUGAAAACCAGUGGCGGGCUCGCUAGUCACACCGAGCGCAGUAGCACAUCUCGCUCAGGGCGUGCGGCGGGCUCCUGCCGUGAAACCCCCCACUGUAACCCCAAAGGUUGACCUCGGAUCAGGUAGGAAUACCCGCUGAACUUAAGCAUAUCAAUAAGCGGAGGA